rnacentral:rRNA from 1 species
CUACGGGUCGCAGCAGUCGAGAAUCUUCCGCAAUGGACGAAAGUCUGACGGAGCGACGCCGCGUGCGGGAUGAAGGCCUUCGGGUUGUAAACCGCUGUCAGUGGGGAGGAAAUGCGUCAGGGUUCUCCCUGGUGUUUGACCGAUCCGCAGAGGAAGCGCAGGCUAAGUCGUGCCAGCAGCCGCGGUAACACGAACUGCGCGAACGUUAUGCGGAAUCACUGGGCUUAAAGAGUUCGUAGGCGGCCUUUCAAGUCGGGUGUGAAAUCCCUCGGCUCAACCGAGGAAUUGCGCCUGAUACUGUUGGGCUUGAGGGGGAUAGGGGUGAGCGGAACUGAUGGUGGAGCGGUGAAAUGCGUUAAUAUCAUCAGGAACACCGGUGGCGAAGGCGGCUCACUGGAUCUCUUCUGACGCUGAGGAACGAAAGCUAGGGGAGCGAACGGGAUUAGAUACCCUGGUAGUC